UCAUCCCUCAAGGAUCGACGGGAUUAGCAAGUCAGGAGGUCUUAUGAAUGAGUUCAAGAGGUGUAUGCGCGUGUUUAGUCAUUCUCCCU
rnacentral:ncRNA from 15 species